rnacentral:rRNA from 1 species
UACGGAGGGGACUAGCGUUGUUCGGAAUUACUGGGCGUAAAGCGCACGUAGGCGGAUUUGUAAGUCAGGGGUGAAAUCCCGGGGCUCAACCCCGGAACUGCCUUUGAUACUGCGAAUCUCGAGUCCGGAAGGGGCGAGUGGAAUUCCUGGUGUAGCGGUGAAAUGCGCAGAUAUCAGGAGGAACACCAAUGGCGAAGGCAGCUCGCUGGAACGGUACUGACGCUGAGGCGCGAAAGCGUGGGGAGCGAACAGG